rnacentral:rRNA from 1 species
AUUGAACGCUGGCGGCAUGCCUUACACAUGCAAGUCGAACGGCAGCACGGGUGCAAUCCUGGUGGCGAGUGGCGAACGGGUGAGUAAUAUAUCGGAACGUGCCCGGUCGUGGGGGAUAACGUAGCGAAAGCUACGCUAAUACCGCAUACGAUCUAUGGAUGAAAGCGGGGGAUCGCAAGACCUCGCGCGAUUGGAGCGGCCGAUAUCAGAUUAGGUAGUUGGUGAGGUAAAGGCUCACCAAGCCGACGAUCUGUAGCUGGUCUGAGAGGACGACCAGCCACACUGGGACUGAGACACGGCCCAGACUCCUACGGGAGGCAGCAGUGGGGAAUUUUGGACAAUGGGCGCAAGCCUGAUCCAGCAAUGCCGCGUGCAGGAUGAAGGCCUUCGGGUUGUAAACUGCUUUUGUACGGAACGAAACGGUGAGCUCUAAUACAGUUUGCUAAUGACGGUACUGUAAGAAUAAGGAUCGGCUAACUCCGUG